UUUUUCCAGAUCUGGCUGAGUUCAAGCUGGUUUUCAGACUCUUCUUAAAGAGCGUUCUCUGACUUCUGGAUAAAGGAUUCAAGUCUCCAGUUAUCUCCUCCAGAUCAAGUUCAAGCUGGCAGUUUCCUGGCUCUUCGACCAUCCGGAUCAAGUCAUAAGCAACCCCUGUCCACCCUCCAACCAGCUUUCACGCAAGUACCUCCAACCUGUGUUCCACACCAUCCAACCCACAGUCCUGGAUCAAAGCUCCUAAGGAUCUACUUUUGUGUGACUAACCCCUGGAAAGAUCUACAUCCACAGAACUGCUCCUGCGCUGCGCUCUCAGACCCCGCAUCUCUCAUCCCUCUGGCGGUUCACCUUCCUCCCCCAACCAGGCUCCUACAAUGCUAAACCUGACGCCCUAUCCAGAAAAUUCUCCUCUGAUGAUUCUGAGAAAAAACCUGUACCCAUUUUGCCUCCUAAUUGGACUAUUGGUUCACUUACAAGGGAAAAAGAGGAUCUUGUCACCCAAGCUCAACGCGACGAGCCCAAACCUGGAACUCGGCCCCAGAACUGAACUUUGGUGCCUUCGACUGUCCGUUCAUGCCUGAUCCACUGGUUUCAGACAGCCAAGUUUUCGGCCCAUUCCCGUUAGGAGAACUUUAACUUUGAUCUCCAGACGAUUUUGUUGGCCGUCUCUCCACCAUGAUGUAAGGAAGUAUGUUCAAGCCUGCACUGUCUGCACUAAAAACAAGACCACUAAUUAACCACCCCUAGAUUGCUUCAAUCCCUCAGCAUCCCUAAAUGGCCCUGGUCCCACAUUGCUUUGGACUUUGUAACUGGGCUCCCAGCUUCGAAGGGCAUGAUCACCAUCUUAACCAUAGUUGACCGUUUUUCUAAAGCCUGCCAUCUUGUUCCUCUGAAAAAUCUACCAUCCUCCCUCCAAACAGCACAACUACUCAUUAAACACAUUUUCAGACUACAUGGUAUUCCCCAGGAUAUACGCUCUGAACGCGGACCUCAGUUUAUUUCUCAGGCGUGGAAACAGUUCUGUUUUGCUUUGGGGGCUAAGGUGUCACUAACUUCUGGUUACCAACCCUACAGACUGGUGUACGUAUCUUUCCUGGAUUGAAUAUUCUCACAAUUCUCAUGUCUCCUCAGCUACUGGUCUUUCUCCAUUCGAAACCUCGAUCGGCUACCAGUCACCUCUGUUCUCAGCUGACGAGAAAGACAUUGCAGUAACCUCUGUCCAUCAUCACAUCCAUCACUGCAAGGGCAUUUGGGAAUCCACCAUUCACGCCCUCCAACGCACAGCAUCACAGAAUAAGAGAUUCGCAGAUAAACGACACAGACCCGCACCUGAGUAUCAUCCCGGUCAGAGAGUUUGGCUUUCAUCGAGACAUUGCCCUCAAAUCCAUGUCCAAGAAGCUUUCUCCUCGCUUCAUCAGGCCCUACGGAAUUGAGUCUGUGAUCAGCCCCAUUGCUGUACGUCUGCGUCUGCCCUCAAGUCUCCGAGUUCAUCCCACGUUUCACGUCUCAGAUUAAGUCAGUCAUCACCAGUUAUUCUUCUCAAUUCAAAUUCAAAAAUACUUUAUUAAUCUCAGCAUUCUACGGACGUAAGGAAGGAUGUGUGGUGUUGCUGUUGCUUGCCUUGGCUCUAUCGUUUGUUGCUUGAUUGGCCUGGAUGGUGGUUGUUCCGUGUCUUGGAGGAGGUGAGGCCUCUUUGUGGUGUGGGCUGUGGCCUUUUUAUGGCACCUUUUAUGGCACUGUGGUAGGCAGGGUGGCACCAAAGGGUUGCCGGGUCUGUUUGGCUGCCUGGUGGCGGUUUCGGUGCGUUUGUCUAUGGAGGGAUGCAGGUGCCUCUAUUACACUGGCUAAGGAUUUGCAUUCAGGUGGGGCUGCCUAUUUGAGUCAGGUGUGGUUGUUGGCCACCUCGGUGUUGAUGUGGGGCUUGUUUUGUU